AUGAAAAAUAAUUAUCUAUAUACCCCUCAAUAUUUUUAAAAUAUCAUAUUUAUUCCUACUCUUUUUAGUUUCAAAUAUAGCCGCUGUAUAUUUCCCCGCUAUUCAAAAAUAACAAGCUGUUAGUGCCUAUUAUUUCAUCUUGGACUAAAUCCGGAUUAAAUUUUUAUAAGAGUUAAAAAAGUCAAAUACUUCUUUUGCCAAGAAAAAUUGAUGAUAACAAAAAAAUGGGGCAAUUGCUUAUAUACCCCUGAAAAAUUUUCGACUUUCCGAUUACCUCUCUUAGAAGGCUAAUAUUGAAAAUACCUUUUUACAUUCCAAUCUAUUUCUAAUAUACAUCUAGAAUUAAAAUCUGUUAAUAAAAUAUGUUACCUCAAUGAAAUUACUAUUUUGCUCUUUCAAAUAUACCAUUCUACCAUCACCGAUUUUUCGUAUUUGCCCUUAAGUUAGGGUUACAAAAAGUAUUUUACUUUUUGGUAUUUUCAAAUAUACCCUUUACCAUCACCAACGUUUCUUAUUUGUCCUUAAGUUAAGGGCAAAAGUGGUAUUUUAAUUCUUUUUAAUUAUAGUAGAUAUUUAACUGAUGUUUAACCCAAGUUAAUUUAACGGGUGGUAACUGUAGGGGUAUUUUGAAAUAACGGAGAAACAUAUGAGGGGUAUAUUGGAAAGGAAAAAAAAAUAGGGGUAAAUAAAAUAUUUUCAAAGUCUUAAAGAGUGUAUAGGCAAUUAUUCCUAAAAAAAUAUUUUUAAAAGGAAAGAAGUCAAAAUAAUUUUUUUGUCCUAACUUAGAAAAAAAAAUAUUAAAGUUUGUGAUAGUAGAAUAAUAUAUUUUUAAAAACAAAAUAGAAAUUUUACCGAAAUAACGAUCGUUUGUUGCAUAGGUACUCUAAUUUUUCACGAAUAAUUAAUAUUUUGCUAAAAAAAUAUUUUAAUAUUAAC
rnacentral:lncRNA from 1 species